GCAUAGAAGUAAACCUUGAUGAACAUCUACUUGAUUAUCCGCCCGGGUACUACGAGCAUAAGCUUAAAACCCAAAGGACUUGGCGGUGCUUUAAACCCACCUAAAGGAGCCUGUUCUAGAACCGAUACCCCCCGUUAAACCUCACCCUCUCUUGUUCUUCCCGCCUAUAUACCGCCGUCGUCAGCUUACCCUGUGAAGGAUUCGUAGUAAGCAAAGUCAGUAGUACUUAAAACGUCAGGUCGAGGUGUAGCAAAUGAGAGGGGAAGAAAUGGGCUACAUUCCUUACUUUAAGGCACCACGGACAAUAUAAUGAAAAAGUAUUAGAAGGAGGAUUUAGCAGUAAGCAGCAAAUAGAGAGUCCUGCUGAAACUGGCCCUAAAGCGCGC
rnacentral:rRNA from 1 species